UGAGUAACCUGCCCUUAACUCUGGGAUAAGCCUGGGAAACUGGGUCUAAUACCGGAUAUGACUCCUCAUCGCAUGGGUGGGGGGUGGAAAGCUUUAUUGUGGUUUUGGAUGGACUCGCGGCCUAUCAGCUUGUUGGUGAGGUAAUGGCUCACCAAGGCGACGACGGGUAGCCGGCCUGAGAGGGUGACCGGCCACGCUGGGACUGAGACACGGCCCAGACCUCCGUACGGGGAGGCAG
rnacentral:rRNA from 1 species